UACGUAGGGUGCGAGCGUUGUCCGGAAUCAUUGGGCGUAAAGGGCGCGUAGGUGGCGGGACAAGCGUGCGGUGAAAGCCUGGGGCUCAACCCCGGGUCGGCCGUGCGAACUGUUUUGCUUGAGCACUGUAGAGGCAGGCGGAAUUCCGGGUGUAGCGGUGGAAUGCGUAGAGAUCCGGAGGAACACCAGCGGCGAAGGCGGCAUCCUGGACUGGUCCUGACACUCAGGAGCGAAAGCGUGGGGAGCGAUCCGG
rnacentral:rRNA from 1 species